UGGGGAAUAUUGGACAAUGGGCGAGAGCCUGAUCCAGCCAUGCCGCGUGUGUGAAGAAGGCCUUUUGGUUGUAAAGCACUUUAAGCGAGGAGGAGGCUACUUGGAUUAAUACUCUAGGAUAGUGGACGUUACUCGCAGAAUAAGCACCGGCUAACUCUGUGCCAGCAGCCGCGGUAAUACAGAGGGUGCGAGCGUUAAUCGGAUUUACUGGGCGUAAAGCGUGCGUAGGCGGCUUCUUAAGUCGGAUGUGAAAUCCCUGAGCUUAACUUAGGAAUUGCAUUCGAUACUGGGAAGCUAGAGUAUGGGAGAGGAUGGUAGAAUUCCAGGUGUAGCGGUGAAAUGCGUAGAGAUCUGGAGGAAUACCGAUGGCGAAGGCAGCCAUCUGGCCUAAUACUGACGCUGAGGUACGAAAGCAUGGGGAGCAAACAGG
rnacentral:rRNA from 1 species